rnacentral:rRNA from 1 species
UACAGAGGGUGCGAGCGUUAAUCGGAAUUACUGGGCGUAAAGCGUGCGUAGACGGUUAUUUAAGUCGGGUGUGAAAGCCCCGGGCUCAACCUGGGAAUUGCAUUCGAGACUGAAUAGCUAGGGUACGGUAGAGGGAAGCGGAAUUUCCGGUGUAGCGGUGAAAUGCGUAGAUAUCGGAAGGAACACCAGUGGCGAAAGCGAGCGACUGGACCUCUUCUGACGCUGAGGCGCGAAAGCCAGGGGAGCAAACGGG